GCUUUGCUGAAAAACUGAUUCCUGGACAUUAUUUAGUUGCAAACUCAACAAUUGAUCUUGAGGUGAUAACUUUGAAAAGCUUUCCGCUGCAGUUUUCUGCGCGUUACUAGUAGAAGGAAGCUCUAAAGGAACGUUGCAUAGAAAUGCAUCGUCCAACACUACUAGCUCAUCUUGAAAAUUCUCGUCUGAAGAUAUCUUUAAGCGAGAACCAUUCUUUGAUGAACCGGUUGGGUGGUAUCCUUUUCUGCUCCACCAAUGUUUCCUAACAGAUUUAGACAUAUAGGAUCCAACACUGCCUGAAGAGGCAUCAACACUUUCUAAUGAUUCCAUAGAAUUUUAAGAGACAGACAAAACGGAGAAGGGGUUAGUAGAAUAAAGGUAUAUGCAAUGAGCUUUUGCAAAGGGAUAUCAGCUAGCACCCCCGCUUAACAAUAUAUGUAUGAUAUGAAUUAAAUGCAGAGUACAAAAGUUGUCAAAAAGAGAAGCUUAAAGAUAAUUUCUUUGAGACGACUAGGGAGUGAAUUUAUAUGCCCGUUCUCAAAGCCGGGUAUUUUUAGGAACAGCAAAAAAGGUUAAUCAACAGCUUUUCUGAAGAAAUUUAAAACAAAGACACAAACGUGAAAUAAAACUUAAAGUAUGUACGAAGAAUGGAGGUAAUUAACGGGUUCUUACCAAAACUAAAAAAAAAGGAACGUCGCUAUAGCCGAACAAAUGUUAAUAAAUACAUUGCAAUUAGUAAAGAACUUUAUAAGUUCUAACAGAAAACAAAAUUGCAGUCCAAAUAUCGAACGAUGGCUACUUUAUGUCUGUAAAGCUUAGAGUUGGAGAAGGGGAAAAGUCGGCAACUCCGAAGUGGU